GAUGAACGCUAGCUACAGGCUUAACACAUGCAAGUCGAGGGGCAGCGGGAUUGAAGCUUGCUUCAAUUGCCGGCGACCGGCGCACGGGUGAGUAACGCGUAUCCAACCUUCCGUACACUCAGGGAUAGCCUUUCGAAAGAAAGAUUAAUACCUGAUGGUAUGAUGAGAUUGCAUGAUAGCAUCAUUAAAGAUUUAUCGGUGUACGAUGGGGAUGCGUUCCAUUAGGUAGUAGGCGGGGUAACGGCCACCUAGCCAACGAUGGAUAGGGGUUCUGAGAGGAAGGUCCCCACAUUGGAACUGAGACACGGUCCAAACUCCUACGGGAGGCAGCAGUGAGGAAUAUUGGUCAAUGGACGAGAGUCUGAACCAAGCCAAAGUAGCGU
rnacentral:rRNA from 1 species